GGGGGUUUAGCUCAGCUGGCUAGAGCGCUACACUGGCAGUGUAGAGGUCACCGGUUCGAAUCCGGUAUCCUCCAC
rnacentral:tRNA from 1 species